CAAACAUACCUGUAGCAUAUUUUUAAAAACAGAAAAUAUCUCCAGGGAAGCAAUCAAUCUACAGCCCUGCUAUAGGAGGAAAGCCAAAGGUCAAGCAUGCAGCCACUGGUGAGACUAGGAGAAAGCCACACUUUCCUAGGUUCAAAUACUAGGAUUUAGAUGACAUCAUCUUGAACUAACUUCUCUAAGCCUAACCUCCUCAUCAUCAAAUAUGGAAAAGAUCUCUCUCUCCUAUGGCUAUCCUAUGGCUCUGUGGUAAAGAUUAAAUGAUGAA
rnacentral:lncRNA from 1 species